rnacentral:snoRNA from 1 species
GUGCCUCAGGGAUGAACAAGCCCCUUACAUUUAACCGUCUGUUUCACUUUGUCAGCAGACGUUUUUGUUUUCUGUUGAUCAUUUUAGGAUGGAACAUAU